rnacentral:rRNA from 1 species
ACUCAAAGGAAUAGACGGGGGCCCGCACAAGCAGCGGAGCGUGUGGUUUAAUUCGAGGCUACACGAAGAACCUUACCUGGACUUGACAUGGAGAGGAACGAGGGUGAAAGCCUGAGGUUCGCAAGACCUUUUCACAGGUGCUGCAUGGCUGUCGUCAGCUCGUGUCGUGAGAUGUUAGGUUAAGUCCUGUAACGAGCGCAACCCCUGAUGGUAGUUACAAGGUGUCUACCGUGACUGCCUGCGUAAGUGGGAGGAAGGUGGGGAUGACGUCAAGUCAGCAUGGCCUUUAUGUCCAGGGCUACACACACGCUACAAUGGCCGGUACAACAGGAUGCCAAGCGGUAACGCGGAGCAAAUCCCUUUUAAAGCCGGUCUCAGUUCAGAUUGUGGGCUGCAACCCGCCCACAUGAAGUCGGAGUUGCUAGUAACCGCGCGUCAGCCAUAGUGCGGUGAAUACGUUCCCGGGCCUUGUACACACCGCCCGU